GAUGAACGCUGGCGGCGUGCCUAAUACAUGCAAGUCGAGCGAACGGACGAGAAGCUUGCUUCUCUGAUGUUAGCGGCGGGCGGGUGAGUAACACGUGUAUAACCUACCUAUAAGACUGAGAUAACUUCGGGAAACCGGCGCUAAUCCCGGAUAAUAUUUUGAACCGCAUGGUUCAAAAGUGAAAGACGGUCUUGCUGUCACUUAUAGAUGGAUCCGCGCUGCAUUAGCUAGUUGGUAAGGUAACGGCUUACCAAGGCAACGAUGCAUAGCCGACCUGAGAGGGUGAUCGGCCACACGGGAAGUGAGACACGGUCCAGACUCCUACGGGAGGCAGCAGUAGGGAAUCUGACGCAAUGGGCGAAAGCCUGACGGAGCAACGCCGCGUGAGUGAUGAAGAUCUUCGGAGCGUGAAACUCUGUUAUUAGGGAAGAACAUAUGUGUAAGUAGCUGUGCACAUCUUGACGGUACCUAAUCAGAAAGCCACGGCUAACUACGUG
rnacentral:rRNA from 1 species